GCGGUCUCUCCAUCCUGCAGGCCGUGCCGCGGUUGCAAGCGGGAAGCUCGUCUCUUGAAGGCCGGCGCCGUGUCUGAGUGGGGGAGACAGUAUGAAAGCAGUAAAGAGGGUGCGCCGCUGGUACUCAGCUCCUUCCCGAAUGCCCCACAUCUGGGAUUUCGGACCUGACGCCCCUUGGCAGCACAUCCCCUCCAGGUGUUGGCCCAGCGUGAGCUGUGCUGGAAAACUCCCCAGAAACAUCCUCGGCGGCCAGGACUUGUCACCCCCCCUGCCCCGGGCUGGCAGCCGCUCCCACAGCCCCGGCCAUGCUGCAGCCCCCCCACCCAGGGGACGUGAAGGCGGCUUUUCCCAACUGCUCCGUGCUGUUUGCUCGGGAAAGGCGGGGGGGAAACAAGAUAUCCUGCACCGCGGCUAGGGGAGCGGCUGGCCCCACACUGUUGCGGGAAGGGCUGGAAGCGGGGACCCCCUCCCGCACGCUGCCGGGGAGCUGGGAUACGGCACCUUCCCGGAGCACCUCUGUUGGGUCCUUCCUGACGGAUUCGCCACCAAAUCCGUGGCUCCCAAGCAAUAAAUCACCCCCGCACUGCCGCGGUGUGGGUGUCAGUGCCUGGUUUAUCCAUACAAGGCGGGGGGGGGGUCCCUAAACCCUGAGGCUGGUGGGUUCGGCACCGGGAAAGGCUGGUCUCCGUGCACCCCGAGCUGCCACCCCGCUGUUCCGUGUCCCAGGGAAAACCGGGAAGGCUCGGACCUGGCCAGGGCCGAGGUGGGGCCGGAGCCGAAACGAAUCCGGUUGUUACCUCCCGGCCCUUCCCGGCGUUCCCGAGCAGCGCCGGCCGGCCAGCGCCUUUGUUUUAAACAAAGCUUUUUCGGGGGGGAGCCAGCUCGGGCGAGGAGGUUCCCUG